rnacentral:rRNA from 1 species
CUUUAUUAGACAUUAAUAAUAAUAAAAUCUGCUCAAUGAAAAAUUUAAAUAGCCGCAAUUUAGUGCUAAGGUAGCAUAAUCAUUUGUCUUUUAAUUAAAGACUAGAAUAAAAGAUUUAACAUUUAAGCUUUUUAUUAAAAAUAAUAAUAGAAAUUAUUCUAUAAGUAAUAAAACUUCUAUACCUUAAAAAGACGACAAGACCCUAUUGAACUUAACUUUAGUUAAACUGGGGCAGUUUUUCAAUUAACAUUUUAAUUAUAAUUAAAUAAUUAAUUGAUCUAAUAAAAAUUAAUUAACUGAUUAAGUUACCAUAGGGAUAACAGCAUAAUAUUGUUUAUAAGAUCUUAUAUAAAACAUAACUUAUGACCUCGAUGUUGACUUAAUACUCCAUUUCACGCAAUAGUGACCUUUGAAGGUCUGUUCGACCUAUAAAAAAUUACAUGA